GACAUCAGUGACUUGCUAGCUGAGACUGAGAAGCAAUCUAUGGUGUCCUGUCAUGCCAUGACUGCUGGAUGGACAGUGAGGUCACAGUGACUUUUGGAGCGAUGGUCACUGCUGGAGCUGGAGUUAAGUUUUGGUUUCCGAAACCAGAAAGGAGGAAGUGGAAGAGAGAGCAGCGUAAGAGCUACCACAAGAAUGUGAUAAGGAAGAACUGCACAUGUGAGAAGUGCUGCCAGGGAGAAAGAGCUGUCAGAAACACAAGCCCCAUGCUCAGCUGGAUGAAUGAGGACCUGACCACAGAGGUGGAGAGGAAAUGUGGGACAAUGAUGCCUUCUGACUUAUGGGAAACUUGGGCACAGAUCACUCUUGCUGAGCCCUAUCUGCAGCCUUCUCCCAUGCCUGCAUCGUGCCGAAUCCACCAAUGAUGCUCAGCACCAGUUAUUUAUUUCCAUGUCACCUAUGGAAACGUUCAGGUCCGAGUUCCUGUUGCACUGGAACUGCUUCCUGAAAGCAAACAAAUCUGCCUGAUUGUUUCUACCAAACCCUGGAGGCUUGAGCACAGGCAAACACAG
rnacentral:lncRNA from 1 species